GCCGAGUUAGUUAAAUGGUAUAACGGCGCACUCGUAAUGCGUAAUUGGGAGUUCGAUUCUCCCACUCGGCACCA
rnacentral:tRNA from 1 species